ensembl:lincRNA
UAUAGCUAACCAUCAUCUACUCCGUGGCCCUCUGCAUUUGCUGGAGACAGAACCGCAAAGCACGACCCGACAGGAUUCUCCCCCGCCUCUGCAGAGACUAUGUUUACAAAGGUCACAAUCAACAUUCAUUGCUGUCGGUGGGUUGAACUGUGUAGAAAAGCUCACUGAACAAUGAAUGCAACUGUGGCCCCGCUUUUUGCAGUCGCAAUCAACAGAAGUUCCCUCCCUAAUAGAGGUCCUGGAGGUAUUAACGCCGUUUCUCAGUUUAACUUCUGCGGUCUGAACUUUCAGGUUUGUUUAUUCAAUUCAUAUUAAAUCCUAUUUCUGUGAGGAAGUCUCUAAUUUACAUAAGAAUACUGCUUUUCUAUGCUCCUGGGGGUUACAAAUGGGACAUUUCUUAAAAAAUGCUAAAGUGUUGGAUGCCCAGAAUCAACUGUGUAGCCUUGGGUCGGCGCAGGUUCCUGCUCUGCUGUGCAGGUGAAAGGAAGAACCAACGAAAUAUCUUACUUUCUGCUCCAUUGUCCGUCAUAUUGUUACACACAGAAAAUAGCCACCCCCUCAUCUUUCAUUAGAUUUCCUGGUCAAAAUGGGCUUGAAGCAAAAGCGAAUUCUUUUGCUCUGCAUAAAUAAUCACUGAAAUGGCUCCACUCUCUAUGGAAUUAGGUAGGUAGAGGGGUAAUACCUCAAUAGCUAAAUACUUUGUUAUCCAGGGGCUAGUUAUAAUCAUACAGUAGAUUUGUUUUCCCAAAGAGAUCUCGGAUUUCAGAUUUUAUUUCAUCGUCUUUAUUUACCCUUCUCCUUUCUUCUGAAUUGGUAGACUUGAGUCCAGGGCCUGUCUUCAAGUAAGUGUGUGUGUGUGUGUGUGUGUGUGUGUGUGUGUGUUUCCUAACUAGUUUGGCUCUAUACUUUCAAAAGGAACAUCUGUCAUUAAGGGUCAUCACCUCCAAUAGUAAGUGCUGUGGUUGGGGUUAUUAUUUAUAACAGGAUGUUCUACAUGCAGUGUUUGUGUAUAUGGCACCUAGUAGAUUUUAAUUCAUUGGGAAAAAUCUAUCAAACAUAUUGUCCUUUCUCUCUCUUGAUCAAUCAGUUAUGAUAAACAUUCAACUCCCACUACAGAAAUCCAUUCCUGGGAUCUUGCUCUAGUGUUCAGAAUAUUCAUUCCCACAGUAUUUUACGUAGUUAGUUCACAAGUGCCUGCCUUGCUUAGGGCAUCUCUGCAUCUAUCAUAACUCCUUUCUCCCACCAUCUGUUUCAUUCCAUUUAAUGUAUGACAAGGUUCUAAUCUCAAAAAGAAAAAAAAAANNNNNNNNNNNNNNNNNCAUCAGAAUGUUUUUUCUACUCAUUCAUUGGUUGAAGGACACUUUGUUUCCAAAGCUUGGCUAUUAUCAAUAAUGUUGAAAUGAAGAGAGUACAAAUACCUCAUUGAUAUACAUAUCUCAGUACACACACACACACACACACACACACACACAUACACACUCACACAGGAUGUAGGAAUGUGAGGACAUAUAAUUUAGGGAUACUAUUUUCAUUUUUUGGAAGACCUGUCAUCUGGUUUCCCAACUAGUUGCACUAAUUUACAUCUAACGUUCACAGUGGUUUCCUGUGUCUUUAUUCCUUGUCAUUACCCUCUUGGCUCUUGUCACUUGCUACCAUGUAUGUGUUUGAUAAUGUCCAUUCUAACGGGGGUGGGAAUAAAAUGAUUAUGAUUUCAAUGAUUUCAACCUGAUAGGGGUGACAAAAUUUUUCCUCAUAUUUGCACUUUAAAUUUUUAAGUACAUUACUUAUUAUUAUUUAUGUAUUUUUACAACAGUCUGAGUGUUUGAUGUGAAUGAUAUAAAAGUCAAUUUGUAAAAAAAUUUCUUAAGAUUGUACUGUCCAUGCAUAUAGGCUUGAUUCAAAGCAUAAUAAAACAUUAAAUUUUAAUUACUCAUUUGAGUUUGACUUUUUAUUAGGUACAUGAACUAUUAUUAUCACAUGAAUUCACUAUGUAAUGGUGAGAUUUUGGAAAUUUAUGAAUACAAAUCUUACUGAUUUUUGAUGGGAAGAUAAGUACAAAAUUUACAUCCCAGGUUGUGCUUCUAAAGACGGCGAUUUUUGAGGCAGUAUCUCUCUGUGUGGACCAUAUAGGUCUGGUAGUUACUUUUUACUUCUCAGCUUCCAGAGUCCUAGCAUCACAGCUUGCUAUGACACCAUGCUUAUGAUGUAAUUGUAAGUAAUAGUAGGCAGUCAUUGUCCAAGUUGUAAUGCCAAGAUAUGAUAAAGAAUGUAUUCAGGAAAAAAAAAUGUUCUCAAAAUUCAAAGACAUUCUUAGGCUGUUUAGUUAUGUUUCAUAACUCUUUCUUCCUUGUGUAGUUCGAAAAAGAUCAUCUCAUUUUCAUGUGUUGUUUUCUCUCAAGUACAGUUAUUCACAAAUUCAUUUAGUUAAAAACUCUAUUGUUGGCUAGAUGUUUUCUCAGAAGUUUUCUCAUGGGGUUGGUGAGAUGGCUCAGUGAUUAAGAACACUGCUAUUCUUCCAACAGGACUUGCCUGGAACCCAUAUCAGGCAGCUCAUAGCAGCCUACAAGUCUAAUUUCAGGCAAUUGGAGUCCCUUUCUGACCUCCAUAAGAACCUGUACAUAUGUGGCAUAGCUCCACAAACACAUACACAUGUGCAUGUACAUACAUAUGCACACAAAAAUGUGUGCUCCUUUUUGUAUUGCUGUGUUUUGUUUCAAGCCACAAUAUCUGCCUCUUUGCUAUCCUGAACACUAAAAACUUUGGUUGAGAAAGAAAGAAAGAAAGAAAGAAAGAAAGAAAGAAAGAAAGAAAGAAAGAAAGAAAGAAAGAA